ACACAGCCUUCCCUCAGGUAAUUCCAUUCAGCUACACACAGCCUCCCUCGGGGUAAUUCAAUUCAGCUACACACAGCCUUCCCUCGGGUUAAUUCCAUUCAGCUAACACAGCCUUCCCUCAGGUAAUUCCAUUAGCGCUACACAGAGCCUUCCCUCAGGUUAAUUCCAUUCAGCUAAACACAGCCUCCCUCAGUGAAUUCCAUUCCGCUACACAGAGCAUUCCCUCAGGUUAAUUCCAUAGCUACACACAGCCUUCCCUCAGUGUAAUUCCAUUCAGCUACACAGAGCCUUCCCUCAGCGAAUUCCAUCACUACACACACACAGCCUUCCCCGGCGUAAUUCCAUUCAGCUACACACAGCCUUCCCUCAGGGGUAAUUCCAUUCAGCUACACACAGCCUUCCCUUGGGGUAAUUCCAUCACUACACAGACCCUUCCCUGGGGUAAUACAUUCAGCUACACACAGCUUCCUCAGGGUAAUUCCA
rnacentral:lncRNA from 1 species